rnacentral:rRNA from 1 species
GAUGAACGCUAGCUACAGGCUUAACACAUGCAAGUCGAGGGGAAACGAUAGAGAAAGCUUGCUUUUUCUAGGCGUCGACCGGCGCACGGGUGAGUAACGCGUAUCCAACCUGCCCAUCACUUGGGGAUAACCUUGCGAAAGUAAGACUAAUACCCAAUGAUAUCUCUAGAAGGCAUCUGAAGGAGAUUAAAGAUUUAUCGGUGAUGGAUGGGGAUGCGUCUGAUUAGCUUGUUGGCGGGGUAACGGCCCACCAAGGCGACGAUCAGUAGGGGUUCUGAGAGGAAGGUCCCCCACAUUGGAACUGAGACACGGUCCAAACUCCUACGGGAGGCAGCAGUGAGGAAUAUUAGUCAAUGGGCGAGAGCCUGAACCAGCCAAGUAGCGUGCAGGAUGACGGCCCUAUGGGUUGUAAACUGCUUUUAUAAGGGAAUAAAGUGAGUCUCGUGAGGCUUUUUGCAUGUACCUUAUGAAUAAGGACCGGCUAAUUCCGUGCCAGCCGCCGCCGUAA